rnacentral:rRNA from 1 species
UACAGAGGUCCCCAAGCGUUGUUCGGAUUCACUGGGCGUAAAGGGUGCGUAGGUGGCCGGGAAAGUUCGGUGUGAAAGCUCCAAGCUCAACUUGGAAAUGUCAUCGAAAACUUCCUGGCUAGAGGAUUGAAAGGGAGACUGGAAUUCUCGGUGUAGCAGUGAAAUGCGUAGAUAUCGAGAGGAACACCGGUGGCGAAGGCGAGUCUCUGGGCAAAUCCUGACACUGAGGCACGAAAGCUGGGGGAGCAAACAGGAUUAGAUACCCCCUCGUAGU